GCUGGCGGNGUGCUUAACACAUGCAAGUCGUACGAGAAACCGGAACUUCGAGUUCUGGGAGUAAAGUGGGGCACGGGUGAGUAACGCGUAGGUAAUCUACCCUUGGGUUUGGAAUAACCCGCCGAAAGGCGGACUAAUACCGGAUAAAAUCUUUCGGAGGGAUCUGAAAGAUCAAAGGUGGCCUCUCCAUGGAUGCUACUGACUGAGGAUGAGCCUGCGUCCCAUUAGCUUGUUGGUAGGGUAAUGGCCUACCAAGGCUACGAUGGGUAACUGGUCUGAGAGGAUGACCAGUCACACUGGAACUGGAACACGGUCCAGACUCCUACGGGAGGCAGCAGUGAGGAAUAUUGCGCAAUGGGGGAAACCCUGACGCANCGACGCCGCGUGGGUGAAGAAGGCCUUCGGGUCGUAAAGCCCUGUCUAGAGGGAAGAAAUUCUCAAUGGAAUAAUACCCAUUGAUAUUGGUNGUACCUCUGGAGGAAGCACCGGCUAACUCCGUGCCAGCAGCCGCGGUAAUACGGAGGUGCGAGCGUUGUUCGCAAUUAGUGGGCGUAAAGCGGGUGUAGGUUGUUUGUUAAAGUCAGAUGUGAAAGCCCACGGCUCAACCGUGGAAGGUGC
rnacentral:rRNA from 1 species